rnacentral:rRNA from 1 species
AACGUAGGACGCAAGCGUUAUCCGGAGUUACUGGGCGUAAAGCGCGGGCAGGCGGUUCUGCCAGUCUGAUGUGAAAUCUCCUCGCUCAACGGGGAGCAGCCAUUGGAAACUACAGAACUGGAGUCUGGCAGAGGUAGGCGGAAUUCCCGGUGUAGUGGUGAAAUGCGUAGAUAUCGGGAGGAACACCAGUGGCGAAGGCGACUACCUGGCCUGUUCUUGACGCUGAGGCGCGAAAGCUAGGGGAGCAAACGGGG